GAUUUGACCCAGAAUUUAAAUUUGGCAUUGUCGGUAGAGCUUGACUCGGAGCCGUUGAGGAGCUGGACGAUCCUCUCGUAUUUCUUACGGGUCACCGUCUUGGUCUUGCCUGAGUCCCCUUUCUGUGUACUUUCAAGUUACAUGGAGACUGGCUUCUACAUUCUUGAUACUUCUGUGUAUGGAGGCAAUAUGGAGCUGUGUUCUUCAGUCAAUGAAGUAUCCACAGAAGCUAGAUGGCUCCAUGAUUUUCAUAGAUAUCAGGACCCAGCAUUUGGGUGAAAGAUAAAGACAUGGGUCAGAAAGGUGGAGAAACAGCCGCACACAUAUUGAAGGAAAACUCAGAGUACUGUACAUAUCUAAUGCUAGACAGUCUAUGUACAGUAAUGACAGGAAUGUAUGAGUAUGAAAACACACAUGCAAUCCAACAGGACAAAAAAAGAAUCCACAGAGAAGAAAGAAGUUAUAUUAGUCAUCACCUACUGCAGCAGCUAGCUCCACAAGGCCGAGAUCAACACAAAACCUUGAACUGAGGUGGUCUGGAAACUGAGUCUAAGAAACAAGAGAAGGGCGUGGAAAUGGAAGGAACCAAAGCCAGUUCAUGGGACUGCAUCUAGCUUGUUCCUAUGGGAGUUUCCAGAGCUUGAUUCUAUUCAGGUGCUUCAAAAACUCAAGAAUGGGUUUCAGAGUUCUCUGUUUCAGUGGAAAAAAAAGUUCCUAAACUCUGACUCAAGACUGUCUAUUACAUUUUCAGGUUUCUGCAAGCAUUUGAACUCUAAGUAGGCUUUGUCAGUGCUCAAAUAAUUACAAAACUUCACAGCAAAACAUGAAAGAUAUCCAUGUAUUACCAUAGCAACUGAGGUCUGACCAGAAAGGAUCUGACCAGAGCAGGUAUAUAGAAUGACCUGGCACUCAUACUACAGAGACCUAGAAAUUUUGCACAUUCAACCCGCCAAAUACCCAUCACAAUGCUGGUUGCAUGCAAUAUGUAAAACCGACUUAUAUAAUAUUCGUCUCAGCUACUGCAACUUCACACAUUUCAGUAGCUUAUCUUCCUCCUCCAGAACCCAUUCACAAUUUUCUUUGAGUUUGGAUUGCUUGCUUGAUGGGAAAAAACCUUGAAAUUUUUUUCCGAAAGGAUAUACCUUUUUUUAGUUGCUUUAAAGGAUAUACCUUUUAGUUGCUUUCUUACUUAGUUGUUAUGAUAAAACCAAUUGUUUGAUGGGAGACAUUUGUUAUAUGGUAACUUGAUAUCCCAUGGUCAAACUCUUCAACUAGGACCAGGCAGCAUGUUGGCAAUGUAUGUUUUAUACAGUUUUGUUCAUAUUUCUCUGUCUUUCAGGCUGGCCUCAAACUCCUGUUCCUCCUCCCUCAGCCUCCUGAGUACUUGGGUCACCUUUGCCCCUUUCACCUGGCAGAGAUGCAGGAGUCAGGCACUGCUGUGAGAAACGAGCCCUGACCAGACAUAAGAUGUGCUGUUUCACCUUGGUGUGGAAUUCCCAGCCCUAAACCUAAGGAAAUAAAUGUUUAUAUUUCAUAAGCUA